AUUGAACGCUGGCGGCAUGCCUUACACAUGCAAGUCGAACGGCAGCAUGGGUGCUUGCACCUGGUGGCGAGUGGCGAACGGGUGAGUAAUAUAUCGGAACGUACCUUAUUGUGGGGGAUAACGCAGCGAAAGCUGUGCUAAUACCGCAUAAUCCCUAAGGGGGAAAGCGGGGGACCGUAAGGCCUCGCGCAAUUAGAGCGGCCGAUACCUGAUUAGCUAGUUGGUGAGGUAAAGGCUCACCAAGGCAACGAUCAGUAGCUGGUCUGAGAGGUCGACCAGCCACACUGGGACUGAGACACGGCCCAGACUCCUACGGGAGGCAGCAGUGGGGAAUUUUGGACAAUGGGGGCAACCCUGAUCCAGCAAUGCCGCGUGAGUGAAGAAGGCCUUCGGGUUGUAAAGCUCUUUUGUCAGGGAAGAAACAGCAGCUCUAACACAGUUUGCGAAUGACGGUACCUGAAUAAUAAGCACCGGCUAACUACGUGCCAGCAGCCGCCGUAA
rnacentral:rRNA from 1 species